rfam:Omnitrophica bacterium RIFCSPLOWO2_12_FTLL_45_13 rifcsplowo2_12_scaffold_7371, whole genome shotgun sequence.
UCAGCAGACCGGGCGGCCGCCCCGCGCUUUUUUCGGGUAUUUUUUGCUUGAAGAAAGCGCGGGGAGGAAAGUCCGGGCUCCAAAGAGCAGCGUAACGGCUAACAGCCGUCCGUCGAAAGACGAGGAUAUCCCGUGCCGCGUAUGGCGCAGGACCAUGAACCGAUCUUUAGAUCUGGUUCAUGGCAGAGCCACAGAGACGAGCCCUGAACCACUCACUUCGUUCGGGUUCAGGGGUGAAACGAGGCAAUCUCUAUGCGGAGCAAGACCAAAUAGAUCCCGAUUCAAGGGUUGCUCGCCCUUACUGUAAAUACAUCAGUAUCGGGACGGGUAAGGUCGCUUGACCCUUGGAGUAAUUCAAGGGCUAGAUAGAUGGCCGCUUCCCCCGCGCUUUUUUCAUAGUAGGAAACUGCUUUAAGAAGGCGCGGGGAAGACUAAACUCGGCUUACAGGUCUGCUGAAAAA